UAGGGAAUCUUCCGCAAUGGACGAACGUCUGACGGAGCAACGCCGCGUGAGUGAAGAAGGCUUUCGGUUCGUAAAACUCUGCUGUUAGGGAAGAAAAAAUGUAUAGUAACUAUAUACAAAAGAGACGGUACCUAACCAGAAAGCCACGGCUAACUACGUGCCAGCAGCCGCGGUAAUACGUAGGUGGCAAGCGUUGUCCGGAGUUAUUGGGCGUAAAGCGCGCGCAGGUGGUUUAGAAAGACUGAUGUGAAAGCCCACGGCUCAACCGGGGAGGGUCAUUGGAAACUAAUAAACUUGAGUGCAGGAGAGGAAAGUGGAAUUCCUAGUGUGGCGGUGGAAUGCGUGGAGAUUAGGAGGAACACCGGUGGCGAAAGCGGCUUUUUGGCCUGCAACUGACACUGAGGCGGGAAAGCGUGGGGGGCAAACAGG
rnacentral:rRNA from 1 species